rnacentral:rRNA from 1 species
GACGAACGCUGGCGGCGUGCUUAACACAUGCAAGUCGAACGAAGAGCGAUGGAAGCUUGCUUCUAUCAAUCUUAGUGGCGAACGGGUGAGUAACGCGUAAUCAACCUGCCCUUCAGAGGGGGACAACAGUUGGAAACGACUGCUAAUACCGCAUACGAUCUAAUCUCGGCAUCGAGGAUAGAUGAAAGGUGGCCUCUACAUGUAAGCUAUCACUGAAGGAGGGGAUUGCGUCUGAUUAGCUAGUUGGAGGGGUAACGGCCCACCAAGGCGAUGAUCAGUAGCCGGUCUGAGAGGAUGGACGGCCACAUUGGGACUGAGACACGGCCCAGACUCCUACGGGAGGCAGCAGUGGGGAAUCUUCCGCAAUGGACGAAAGUCUGACGGAGCAACGCCGCGGGAGUGAUGACGGCCUUCGGGUUGUAAAGCUCUGUUAAUCGGGACGAAAGGCCUUCUUGCGAAUAGUGAGAAGGAUUGACGGUACCGGAAUAGAAAGCCACGGCUAACUACGUG